rnacentral:rRNA from 1 species
UGCACCCCCUUGUAAAAGCCUGAUUUUGUCAGAUCCCAGAUGAUAAGCAGGGCUGGACCUGGUUAGUACUUAGAAGGGAGACCGCUGGGAAUUCUAGGUGCAG